UCUUGCGUCUCCCAACCCCAUUGUGCACCAAGAAAAACACCAACAAUAGCGAAACAUACCCUCCUCCCCCAAAGAAGAAGCAGUACUUGAUAAACUUCACUUCGGUCUCUCAAAUAGGCGUCGACAAAUCCACACACUGCAUUCAUCCACGUACGUCCGUUCUCCGGAGACCUCUCCCUCCCCCUGAUCGACCACCAACGAACGCAUCAACGUAUUCGCGAAAGCAGCAGAGCGAUCGUAUCCCACGCGCGCUGUCUCUCCCCCUCCCCUUUUUUCUUUGUCGUUGUCACCUUUUUUUUUCGUUUGGUUUCUCUCGCCGAUCUUUUAUCGUGGAAGACGAGCCCACGGAACGUAUCACUGUGUUAUCUGCAAACGCGGCUAUCUAGUCCUACGUGCCACGCACAGUCACACGGCACACAUACACACACAUAUACACACGCAUAUACACACGCACACACAAGGCAAACGCGCGCGCGUACGCUCUUCAGCUCAAAGUAAGAAGAACAAGCAAAGGCGGCACCUCUGACUGGGCACGUGUGUGCCCACGCGCAUCCACACAAAAGGCAAACAAACCAACCGCCUUUCCUUCUUCCCUCCAAAACGAGUUUUUUUCCUUUGUUUUCAUCUGCGUGCUGUACUGUGCCGCUGCGCUCGUGUUGUCGUUUUUUUUUUUUCGAGCCCUUGAUUGCUCUCAUCCGUCCUACCUACCACUGUCACACACCUCUCCUCCCUACUCGUGUGACCCCUCGCUUUUCUUUUGUUUUUCUUUGCGUCCACGUCCGCCCCACCACACCUCUCCCCCUUUUCUUGUUACAGUGAAGAGGAGACACGCUCUCGUAGCUUUAUUCAAGCAAACGCACUCUCCCUUGUUGAUCACGUCGGCUCCCAUCUCACUGCAACUCCCUCCCCCGUCCUUUUUUUCUCUUCCUAUUUUGCCAGCUCUCGGCUCGAGCCGUCCCUUCCCCUCUACAUCGCGACCCCUCAGAUACUUGAUCUACACCACACACGCACACCUGCCGAUAUAGUUCUUUUAUUUUUCCACCAUGAGCGCUGCACCGUCCGACGUAGCUGAACAGCAUGUCGACCCCGCACCUGCCGAUAGUGUUGCCCCGCUAGCGAACGCCUCUCAGCAGGAGGAAUCUGCGACGAACAACUUUCACUCCAGCAGUGCUGGUAACGGCAAAGUGCUGCCAGGGAUCCCGAACGCCAAGAAGCGUCUCUUGCGGAAGAGCAGGAGCGUGGCGACUGUAGAGGCGGCCAAAAAGUGCAAGGAGGAGGACAAAAAGCUUGCGGACGAAAUCGCGAAGGCUCGCGAGGCAGAGGCUCGAGCAGCAAAGGAGAAGGCGAAGCGGAUUCGUGAGGCCGAGGCCGAGAGCCGCAAGAAGCGAGAUCAUAAGGAUGUGCGUAUUCAGAAGGACGUAGAGGAGGAGCGGAAGCAGAGGGAGGAGCUGCAGCGUCAGCGCGAGGAGGAGGAGAAGCAGCGCAUCGAGAUGGUGCGCAAGCAGCGUGAGGAGGCCCAAAAGAAGCGGGAGGAGAUCCAGAAGCAGCGCGAGGAUGAGAUCAAGCGCCGCAAGGCUGAGAUCGAAGCAGAGAGGCAGAAGCUGAAGGAGCUGCAGGAGGAGCACGAGAGGGAGCAGGAGGAGGUCCGCCAGCGUCGCGUCGCGGAGGAGAAGGAGGCACAGAAGAGGGCCGAGAAGAAGGCCGAGGAGGUCGAGGGCGAGUUCGCUGCGGCGCGCCGGCAGAGGAAGGGGGAGUUGGAGGAGCUGCAGCGCCAGCGCGAGGAGGAGGAGAAGCAGCGCAUCGAGAUGGUGCGCAAGCAGCGUGAGGAGGCCCAAAAGAAGCGGGAGGAGAUCCAGAAGCAGCGCGAGGAUGAGAUCAAGCGCCGCAAGGCUGAGAUCGAAGCAGAGAGGCAGAAGCUGAAGGAGCUGCAGGAGGAGCACGAGAGGGAGCAGGAGGAGGUCCGCCAGCGUCGCGUCGCGGAGGAGAAGGAGGCACAGAAGAGGGCCGAGAAGAAGGCCGAGGAGGUCGAGGGCGAGUUCGCUGCGACGCGCCGGCAGAGGAAGGGGGAGUUGGAGGAGCUGCAGCGCCAGCGCGAGAAGGAGGAGAAGCAGCGCAUCGAGAUGGUGCGCAAGCAGCGUGAGGAGGCCCAGAGGAAGAAGGAGAAACUGAAGGAGAGGGACAGCAAGGAAGCGGAGGAGAUCAAGCGCCAGCGGAAGGAAGAGCAGGCGGAGCUGCAGAAGUGGCGGGAAAAGGAGCAGGAGGCGCAGCGCAAGAAGAUCGAGGAGCUUCGCACGAAAGGCAAGAAGGACUCGAAAAAGGAGCAGAUUCUAAAGGAAAAAAGGAGGACUGCUGCUGCGGAGCGAGAGCGCCUGGAGGAGCAGCGCAGGAAGCAGAAGGAAGAGGAGGAGAAGGAGCUAGAGGCGAAGCGCAAAAGGGUGAUGGAGCAGCUAGAGAAGAACUACGACAUCGUUGACGAGGAGGAGUACGAGCGAGAGCGGGAGAAGGCAAGACAGAUGAGGGAAGAGCAGGAAAAGGCAAGUGCCGUGGCCCUCGGACUUGCGUAGACGACAUUGAACGAACCAAACUCCGUCAUACGCGCGUGCGCGGCAGGAGGGAAGGGGUGAUCUGCUCCUCCCGUGCGUGCUGGGGACUUUUCCCAGGGCUGCUGAGCACUUUCUCUCUCUGCGUUAUCCGUUGCACACACACACACAUAUAUAUAUAUACACAGACAUAUAAGCACACACAAUUACACAUUCCGUUCUGCUUUUUUUUUUUCGUCCUUUUUCUUCCUUUGCCCACUUCGCCACUACUGCCUUUGCAUCUCUGUGCGCGCGUGUUUGUGCUUGAUGCCAGCAUUGCACCCUCCUCCCCCUCCUUCUCUGGCCAUUGCACGAAGCCAUGUAGACUCUGUAGAUGUGCCUAAUGGUGGCGAUGAUAUUGUGUGACCUUGUCCUUCCUUUUCCUUUUUUUUCUCCUUGCUUCCUCCGCUAUGCUCGCCUUGUUUUUCCCUUUUAGCAUGAUGAGGCGUGUGUGUGUGUGAGAGCGUGCCUCUCUUGGCACCGGGGCAUUGCUCUUUUUUCGUCAUUAACGGCAUCGCCUAGCGUUGGCUGCCUUGCACGCCAUCUUCCUUUUUCCCUCUUCCCCAACCUGCUCUCUUUCCCUUCUUCUGUAUUGCCGUGAAUACGCUUUCGGCUUCACGGAUGACCUCUUUUUCAUGACUUGUACGCUAGCUGAUGGGUGACUGUGUCCUCUUCCGCGCAUGCACGCCGGACUCUCGAUCUGUGGUGACGGUACCCUCUAGCGUGUGCUGUAGGUCGUAUUUGUGGCCGGUUGCUGCUUUUUCAUGGAUGAGGGAGGGGUCUUUUCACGGUGCGGCGCUGUGUGUUCUCAUUGUAGCUGAGUGAUGUCUGUGAUGUGAUGCUGCGUCUCUCUCUAUCUCUGUACUUGUGUGUGUGUGUGUGUGGACGGCUAGGCGGAUCCCGAUAGAAAGUGUGUGCUGUCGCUCUCGUUGUGCGUGUCUCUGUACAUGUAUUCCUUGGGCCUCUUUCUUUCACCCAUUACCCCUCUGUGUUUGGUGUUCCACACCUGGUCUCUCUCCCUUCUCUCGUCUUUAGUCGUCCUGUGCGUUGCCUCAGGACAUUGCCUUUAUUUUCCGUUUUUUUUUUGCUGUAGCAAGCUCUUGUCUUUCCCUCUCUCGCUCGCCCUCCUCCUCUGUCUUUCCUACGCUGGCUGUAUCUUUCUCUUCUCUGUGACCUUGUCUGUCUCUCCCACCACACAUACACAUUCCCGAAUACGCGUGAGUGCGCUAUCGAGAUGCACUCUCUUUGGUUUUUUUUUUUGCUUCGUGGCUUCUCUUUCUCUCUCCCUGCUCUUCCCUUCUCCACCCUCUCUUGCUUUCAUGCAGGCCAUAUGUGUGCGCCGAAGCUACGAGGGAGAAAAGGGAGCCAUGGAUUCUGCAGGAGUUCCAUUGGGGGUGGGGGUUGGGGGGGCGGGGAGGGCUUUGCAUGUGGCCUGUGCGCGUGUACGUACAUAUGUAUGUAUGCGUAUCUCUUCCUCUCUUCCAGAUAUCAUCAAGCGAAUCGAGCGUGCGCCGUAUCUUCUUCUCGUCUCUCUUCUUUGUAUCCAUGCACGUCUUCGAGCUCCGUCUUCGUGUGUUCAGUGUGAUCUUGGUCUCUUUCUUUGUUUUUGUGUCUCUCCAUGCUCGAGGAUACUCGUGUGUGUGGGGGUGCGCCUGCCUCCCCCCAGCCACACGCCCUUUUUCCCUGAGAGAGGGGGAGAGAGAUUUGCUCGCCCCCUCACCCAAUUGCCUUGUGCUUAUAUAUAUAUCUUCACCUGUUCGGUUUCGGUUCUCUUCUCAGGCCAGCCACCGUCUCUACCCUGCCCCUGUUUAACAAUCCGUCAUCGUCGUCGCUUCCUCCAGAAAACGGAGAACCAACCCCUUUCCCUUUUUGAUCCAAUGAACCAAGCACAUGGAGCGAGAGGGCACCAAAAAG
rnacentral:misc_RNA from 1 species